CUCAAACUUGCAAUCCUCCUGCCUCAGACUCUUGGGUUGCUGGGAUUACAGGCGUGCACAACCAUGCCUGGCUGCUUUUCGCUUAUUCAAGUGGAUGAACCUCACAAACAUCAUGAUGAGUGAGAGUAACCAGAAACGAAAACACCGCUUAUCAUAUGUGUCCAUUAAUACAAGGUCCAAAACAGUUCCUAGGUCAGACCACCAGACUGAUGUUGCUGAAGACAUGCACUUUGUGACACACUCUGCUUUACAGAACCCUUUAGAGAAGAAAUGCAACCUACUUGAAAAACAGGAAACUGGUCCUUUUCAGCAUGCAAUUUAUUUUUAUCUUAAGAACAUGUAAACCAGGUAGUGUCAGAGACAUAGGGGGCUCUUCAAAUACUGCCAAAAGUUACUGUAGAUGCAGAGUCUGGGUGAUGAGGAAGUUAUUAAUGGCCAAAUACAUGGGAGGAAAUGAUACUCAGAAGAGAGGAAUGGAGUUCUGUUUUUGGCGAGUGGAGAAAGGAGCUGCAGCUGAAAAGCGACAGAAUGGUUAACGGAUCUGGGAUACUUUCGAAAAUGGCAAGAAAGCAGAAAACUGACAAGAAUGUUUUAAAGUAAAAUGAACCGUACUCGAUGGGAUCAUCUCAUUGGGCAGCAAGGUGCAAGCGCUUCUGCAGCUGUCGGAGCGCCCCCAGCAGGUGGGGAGGACCUUACCACUCGAAAUUUAUUUUUAGUUGAUACUUAAAGACAUAAAAUUGUACAUAUUAAUGGGAUACCAUGUGAUAUUUCGAUAGCUGUAUACAUUGUGUAAUAUUUAAAUCAGAUCUCCUCAAAUACUUCUUUAUUUGUAGUAAAAACUUUAAAAAUUCUUCUUCUAGCUUUUUGGAAUCAGCCGUGACUAAUUAGUAUCCUUUGGUCAACCUCUCCCACUCCCACUCCUUAGCCUUUGGUACCCACCAUUCUACUCCCAACUAAUAUGAGAUUGACUUUUAAAAAAAAUUUCACAUAUGAGUAUAGUACUUGUCUUUCUGUCUUGGCUUACUCACUUAACAAAAUGAUCUCUAGUUUCAUCCAUCUUGUCUCACAUGAUAGGAUUUCAUUCUUUUUUAAUAGCCGAACGGUAUUCCAUUGUGUAUGUAUACUACAUUUUCUUUAUGCAUCUAUAAGUUGAUAGAUACUUAAGUUGUUUCUAUUUCUUGGCUAUUGUGAGUAGUGGUAUAGGACACAUGUGAGUGCAGAUGUUUCUUUGACAUUUUAAUUUCAUUUCUUUUGGGUAUAUAUACCCAGUAUUGGGAUUGCUGGAUC